UAGCAAAUACUCAAAUGAGAACUUUGAGGACUGAAGUGGGGAAAGGUUCCAUGUGAACAGCAGUUGGACAUGGGUUAGUCGAUCCUAAGGCAUAGGGAAGUUCCGUUUGAAAGGCGCCCUCGUGCGCCGUGUGCCGAAAGGGAAGCCGGUUAACAUUCCGGCACCUAGAUGUGGAUUCUCCACGGCAACGUAACUGAACGCGGAGACGUCGGCGGGGGUCCUGGGAAGAGUUCUCUUUUCUUCUUGACAGCCUAUCACCCUGAAAUCGGUUUGUCCGGAGCUAGGGUUCUAUGGCUGGCAGAGCGCCGCACUUUUGCGGCGUCCGGUGCGCCCCCGACGACCCUUGAAAAUCCGCGGGAAGGAAUAGUUUUCACGCUAGGUCGUACUCAUAACCGCAGCAGGUCUCCAAGGUGAACAGCCUCUAGUUGAUAGAACAAUGUAGAUAAGGGAAGUCG
rnacentral:rRNA from 1 species